rnacentral:rRNA from 1 species
AUUGAACGCUGGCGGCAUGCCUUACACAUGCAAGUCGAACGGUAACGGGCCUUCGGGUGCCGACGAGUGGCGAACGGGUGAGUAAUACAUCGGAACGUGCCCGAUCGUGGGGGAUAACGAGGCGAAAGCUUUGCUAAUACCGCAUACGAUCUACGGAUGAAAGCAGGGGACCGCAAGGCCUUGCGCGGACGGAGCGGCCGAUGGCAGAUUAGGUAGUUGGUGGGAUAAAAGCUUACCAAGCCGACGAUCUGUAGCUGGUCUGAGAGGAUGAUCAGCCACACUGGGACUGAGACACGGCCCAGACUCCUACGGGAGGCAGCAGUGGGGAAUUUUGGACAAUGGGCGCAAGCCUGAUCCAGCCAUGCCGCGUGCAGGAUGAAGGCCUUCGGGUUGUAAACUGCUUUUGUACGGAACGAAAAGCCUUCUUUUAAUACAGGAGGGUCAUGACGGUACCGUAGAAUAAGCACCGGCUAACUACGUG